rnacentral:rRNA from 1 species
UGUUUCCUGGUGGCGAGCGGCGGAGGGUGAGUAAUGCAUAGAAAUCUGCCCGGUAGUGGGGGAUAACCUGGGGAGACCCAGGCUAAUACCGCAUACGUCCUACGGGAGAAAGCAGGGGAUCUUCGGACCUUGCGCUAUCGGAUGAGUCUAUGUCGGAUUAGCUUGUUGGUGAGGUAAUGGCUCACCAAGGCGACGAUCCGUAGCUGGUCUGAGAGGAUGAUCAGCCACAUCGGGACUGAGACACGGCCCGAACUCCUACGGGAGGCAGCAGUGGGGAAUAUUGGACAAUGGGCGAAAGCCUGAUCCAGCCAUGCCGCGUGUGUGAAGAAGGCCUUCGGGUUGUAAAGCACUUUCAGUGGGGAAGAAAGCCUUGGGGCUAAUACCCUCGAGGAAGGACAUCACCCACAGAAGAAGCACCGGCUAACUCCGUGCCAGCAGCCGCGGUAAUACGGAGGGUGCGAGCGUUAAUCGGAAUUACUGGGCGUAAAGCGCGCGUAGGCGGUCUGAUAAGCCGGUUGUGAAAGCCCCGGGCUCAACCUGGGAACGGCAUCCGGAACUGUCAGGCUAGAGUGCAGGAGAGGAAGGUAGAAUUCCCGGUGUAGCGGUGAAAUGCGUAGAGAUCGGGAGGAAUACCAGUGGCGAAGGCGGCCUUCUGGACUGACACUGACGCUGAGGUGCGAAAGCGUGGGUAGCAAACAGGAUUAGAUACCCUGGUAGUCCACGCCGUAAACGAUGUCGACUAGCCGUUGGGCUCCUUGAGAGCUUUGUGGCGCAGUUAACGCGAUAAGUCGACCGCCUGGGGAGUACGGCCGCAAGGUUAAAACUCAAAUGAAUUGACGGGGGCCCGCACAAGCGGUGGAGCAUGUGGUU